rnacentral:rRNA from 1 species
CCCUUAGAUGUUCUGGGCCGCACGCGCGCUACACUGAAGGAAUCAGCGUGGCUUUCUCCCUGACCCGAAAGGGUUGGGAAACCCGUUGAAUCUCCUUCGUGAUAGGGAUUGGGGCUUGAAAUUGUUCCCCACGAACGAGGAAUUCCCAGUAAGCGCGAGUCAUAAGCUCGCGUUGAUUACGUCCCUGCCCUUUGUACACACCGCCCGUCGCUACUACCGAUUGAACGGUUUAGUGAGGGCCUCGGAUUGGUCUCGGCCCGCUCUUUACCGGGCGGCGCCGUUGGUCGAGAAGACGCUCGAACUUGAUCGUUUAGAGGAAGUAAAAGUCGUAACA